rnacentral:misc_RNA from 1 species
AACCUUAUGGACCUGCGGGCGUAUACCUGCGGAAGGAUCAUUAAUAAAUGUUACUUCGGUAACUUAAUUAAUCCCUAACACCUGUGCAUCUUGUCGCUUCGGCGUCAUUUUAUAAACAUCAGUGUAAUGAAUGUAAAGUAUUAUAACAAAUACAACUUUCAACAAUGGAUCU